GGACAAGUAGCUCAGCCAGGUAGAGCGAUAGGCUCUUAACCUAUUGGCCGGGGGUUCGAAGCCCUCCUUGUCCG
rnacentral:tRNA from 1 species